UGAGGAAUAUUGGUCAAUGGGCGAGAGCCUGAACCAGCCAAGUCGCGUGAAGGAUGAAGGUUCUAUGGAUCGUAAACUUCUUUUAUAAGGGAAUAAAGUUCAGGACGUGUCCUGUUUUGCAUGUACCUUAAGAAUAAGGAUCGGCUAACUCCGUGCCAGCAGCCGCGGUAAUACGUAGGGGGCAAGCGUUGUCCGGAAUUACUGGGCGUAAAGAGCACGUAGGCGGUAACCUAAGUCAGAUGUGAAAGACCAGGGCUUAACUCUGGGGUUGCAUACGAAACUGGGUAACUAGAGUGCAGGAGAGGAAAGUGGAAUUCCUAGUGUAGCGGUGAAAUGCGUAGAUAUUAGGAGGAACACCAGUGGCGAAGGCGGCUUUCUGGACUGUAACUGACGCUGAGGUGCGAAAGCCAGGGGAGCGAACG
rnacentral:rRNA from 1 species